rnacentral:rRNA from 1 species
CUGGUGCCAGCAGCCGCGGUAACUCCAGCUCCAGAAGCGUAUAUUAAAGUUGUUGCAGUUAAAAAGCUCGUAGUUGGAUCUGGGUCGCAUGGCUACGUGCCGUAACUUGUAUUCCUGGCUUGGCUACGGUUGGGUCAGGUUUGCGAGUCGGCGCGUGGCUUUGUAGCCUUUCUGCCGUGUCUGUUUCGACAGGUGCCGAUGGUUAAUCCGUUGGCAUGCUUCCAGAUGCCCUUCACCGGGUGUCGGGGGCGGACGGCACGUUUACUUUGAACAAAUUUGAGUGCUCAAAGCAGGCCUAUGCCUGAAAAUUCUUGCAUGGAAUAAUGGAAUAGGACUUCGGUUCUAUUUUGUUGGUUUUCGGAUCCGAAGUAAUGGUUAAGAGGGACAGACGGGGGCAUUUGUAUGGA